GGGCACUUAGCACAGUGGUAGCGCGUUUGCUUUGCACAUCACGUGGUUUGCAUGAGGUCGUGGGUUCAAUCCCCACAGUGUCCA